ACGAAGGGGGCUAGCGUUGUUCGGAUUUACUGGGCGUAAAGCGCACGUAGGCGGACUUUUAAGUCAGGGGUGAAAUCCCGGGGCUCAACCCCGGAACUGCCUUUGAUACUGGAAGUCUUGAGUAUGGUAGAGGUGAGUGGAAUUCCGAGUGUAGAGGUGAAAUUCGUAGAUAUUCGGAGGAACACCAGUGGCGAAGGCGGCUCACUGGACCAUUACUGACGCUGAGGUGCGAAAGCGUGGGGAGCAAACAG
rnacentral:rRNA from 1 species